UAUCUCUCUCUCUUUCUCUGUCUUCUAGGGUUCUAGAAAUUUCUCUAUUUCUCCAUUUCUCUGAUUCAUGUGAUUAUUGCAUCUUUGUUUUUUCCUGAUCGCAAUCCAUUUUAUUACUGGUUUUGGUUGCAGAUAAUGGAAGCGAUCUUACACGGCUAGGAUCGAACGUCUCCACAAAGGGCGUGGGGCUUCUUGUUUAGGAGAGGCACCAUUGGAAGGUCAUCCGUUAGGUGCGCACAUCUAAGAUGAACUUGGGUGAUGAGGUUGACUUGGAAGACUGUUUCUCGAUUGAAUAAAAUUAGUGCUGCAGAGAAAUAACACUGCUGGAGCCUUUAACACUUCUGGAGUGUUUUCAAAUGCUAUAGUUUACAUAGAGCAUUACUCUCAAGAUAGCUUAGAGAGUAUCUUACUUUUGAAACUAUGGAACUCGAAUGGAGAAGCUCUCUCAAAGAAGUCAUGGUGAAUGGAUGGUUCCACAGGGGAUCAAGUGGCAGCCAAAUGGAAUUAUGAAAAUCAUUGACAGGAAAAAGAACAUUUUAAAGCUUUCAUAAGGAUAAUAUGUUCCUGUUGAAAAACAUCUUUGGUGAAUGUUCUGAAAUUG